rnacentral:rRNA from 1 species
UGGGGAAUAUUGGACAAUGGGGGAAACCCUGAUCCAGCAAUGCCGCGUGUGUGAAGAAGGCCUGCGGGUUGCAAAGCACUUUUGGCAGGGAUGAAAAGCAUCGGGCGAAUAUCCCGAUGUAUUGACCUAACCUGCAGAAGAAGCACCGGCUAACUCUGUGCCAGCAGCCGCGGUAAUACAGAGGGUGCAAGCGUUAAUCGGAAUUACUGGGCGUAAAGCGCGCGUAGGCGGUCGAGUGAGUCGGAUGUGAAAUCCCCGGGCUUAACCUGGGAAUUGCAUUCGAUACUGCUCGGCUAGAGUGUGGAAGAGGGAAGCGGAAUUUCCGGUGUAGCGGUGAAAUGCGUAGAUAUCGGAAGGAACACCAGUGGCGAAGGCGGCUUCCUGGUCCAACACUGACGCUGAGGCACGAAAGCGUGGGGAGCAAACAGGAUUAGAUACCCCAGUAG